rnacentral:miRNA from 1 species
GCAGGACAUCGAAUCAGGAAA